CGUACUGACGGUGGAAGUGCGCAAGCGCAGUUCCGGGCUCCCAGCGGCGGGGUCCUCUUUCCCGGGGUUUCCACCUUCCUGGCAGCUGGGCGCCGAGGCGUCGGCUUCUCUCCGCGGUUCGCUUCGUGGUCCGGACACUCGCCCCCAGCACCCAGCCCCUAGCACCCGAGCCCUGCUGUGGGUCGCACUCCUCUUCCGGCAACACACCCAUGGCGGAGCGUGGGGAACUCGACCUGACCGGCGCCAAGCAGAACACCGGAGUGUGGCUGGUCAAGGUUCCUAAAUAUUUGUCACAGCAGUGGGCUAAAGCCCCUGGAAGAGGUGAAGUUGGGAAACUGCGGAUUGCUAAGAAUCAAGGAAGGACUGAGGUGUCAUUUACUUUGAAUGAGGAUCUUGCAAAUAUUCAUGAUAUUGGUGGAAAACCAGCUUCAGUCAGCGCUCCUAGAGAACAUCCAUUUGUCUUGCAAAGUGUUGGAGGACAAACAUUAACAGUAUUUACUGAGAGCUCUUCAGAUAAGCUUUCAUUGGAAGGAAUAGUGGUACAAAGAGCUGAAUGCCGACCUGCUGCAAGUGAAAACUACAUGAGAUUAAAGAGACUGCAAAUAGAAGAAUCUUCUAAACCCGUACGGCUAUCCCAACAACUGGACAAAGUUGUGACAACCAAUUACAAACCUGUUGCCAAUCAUCAAUACAAUAUUGAAUAUGAAAGGAAAAAGAAAGAAGAUGGAAAACGAGCUCGAGCUGAUAAACAGUAUGUUUUAGACAUGCUGUUUUCGGCUUUUGAGAAACAUCAGUAUUAUAAUCUUAAGGACCUGGUGGACAUCACAAAACAGCCUGUGGUGUACCUGAAGGAAAUCUUAAAAGAAAUUGGUAUUCAGAAUGUAAAAGGGAUCCACAAAAACACAUGGGAGCUGAAGCCAGAGUAUAGACAUUAUCAAGGAGAAGAAAAGAGUGAUUAAGAAGACUCCACGCCAGCAUGCUAACAGAACAAAUAAGGGUGAUGUGUUAAGCAUACGGCAUUGAUACUUGAACUUGAGCCCCAUGUGUUGUUAUAGGGGCAAAAUGACUGAAACUUUAAUUUCUGUAGAGAUUCAUCUGAAAGUCUACAGACCUCAGCCUGCAAGCUUAGUGUAUUGCAAUGAAAACAUCUCUGCUUUGUGGAUGUCUCAAGGAGCAUGCAGUUGAAAAUGGAUACCAAGGAAUCGACUGGGAGAAGAAAGAAGAGAAAAACAAGAUUAUUUUAAGUAACUUUUUUUAAGCACUUUUCAUUUGGGCCCAAUUGGUUGAUUUCCUCAGAAAAAAUAAGAGUAUAUCUAUCAAAGCUAGAGCAUCACACGUGCUAGAAAAGACAAGUGAAGAAGCCAGGAAGUUAGAACUGGGGUUCACAUUCGCCAUCGUGUCUAAUACUGACUAUAUUUUUGCCAGGUUUUUUAGUCAGUUGCUAUCACCAGUAAUCUGGGAUGGAGAAACUUGUGGUUUAGGGGAAGUGGCUGAAGAGGGGCUGAUUAGCAGAAAAGGGUAUCAGUACUUGUUGAGAGAUUGGUGAUGAUCUUUAAUGUCCUUCUGGUUUUAAGGUUCUGUCAUUUGCCCUGGCCGGUGUGGCUCAGUUGGUUGAGCAUCAUCCCAUGCACCAA